AAGGAAUCUGGCGAAAUGAAGAAACAAUCCAGCAGUUACGUUCCUGUUAGCACAGGCUUCAGACUACAACUUGUUUCUUGACAGAUGCAAAUGCUACAAGUGGAUGGAUACUCCGUUAAUACAGAGAUGCUGGUGUUUAAGGUAUGCUUGCGCACGUGUAAGAGGUAGGGAGUACAAGGAUUUACCCACCAUAUGCAAUUAUUACUGAAGUUGAUCAUUCAUUCCGUGCAGUCUUUGGUUUGUCACUUAAGGUCACCAUAGAUCUGAGGACACCUGGACUAACCGUAUCAGCAAGAACUCCUUUAUCUGAUAUCCAUAAAGACUUCUCCUUUACAAUGCUCUGAAGUUUAUUAGCUUCGUAAUCGAGUAGAGUUUGAUCUUUCUCCAGAAUGGUAUGAGCAGCAUGGAAAGGAAUAUUGGCAAAUACAUCAGUUCCUGGGAACAUGACCCAAGUCUUCUCCUUUGAAUCAUGAUUACCACACGUUGAACAAAUCUCUUUCACCAACGGUCUUGAUUCAACAUUCCUCAUUAUUGAGUCAAAAGGAGUAGGAAUGCUACUUUUUGUCGUCUUAGCCCUCCUCCUUAGUGCAGUUAAUGCUUCCCUGUUCCCAUUCCUCACUCUAUCAUUUUCAACUAACUGUUGCCGAGCUAAUAGAAGACUUUCACCUUCGAUUUCAACCUCAAUAAGCUUUUCUUGUAUUUGCUUCAUCGAGUCAUCCAUUUGAUCUCUGGAC
rnacentral:misc_RNA from 1 species